UAGGCAGCCGUUUUAUGACGUCAUCUUCCAGCCCCGGAAGUGGCGGGGCGCAGUGGCGCCGCGAGCGGGUUUGUGAGUGUCUGCAGUCGAGAGCGAUGAUGCGGGUGUGCUGGUUGGUGAGACAGGACAGCGGGCACCAGCGAAUCAGACUUCCCCAUUUGGAAGCAGUUGUGAUUGGUCGAAGCCCAGAGACCAAGAUCACAGAUAAGAAAUGUUCUCGCCAGCAAGUACAGUUGAAAGCAGAGUGUAACAAGGGCUAUGUCAAAGUAAAGCAGGUGGGGGUCAAUCCCACCAGCAUUGACUCCGUCAUCAUCGGGAAGGACCAAGAGAUGAAGCUGCAGCCUGGCCAGGUUCUCCACAUGGUGAAUGAACUUUAUCCAUAUAUUGUAGAGUUUGAGGAAGUAGCACAGAGUCCUGACCUAGAAACACAAAGGAAGAGAAAGAGGUCAGACUGUGAUGGUGAGGAGAUGGAUGCUGCUCAGGAAGCGGAGUCUGGGACAGGGCUAGCACCUGGGAGCAGCCCCAGCCAGUGCUCUGUGCCUUCUAAGAAGGGCAAGGAUGGAGUCACCAAAGAGGAGUCACUGGGCCACUGGAGUCAAGGCUUGAAAGUUUCUAUGAAAGACCCCAAAAUGCAGGUUUACAAAGAUGAGCUGGUGGUGGUGAUUAAGGAUAAAUAUCCCAAGGCCCGUCACCAUUGGCUGGUCUUACCCUGGGCCUCCAUUUCCAGUCUGAAGGUUGUGACCAGUGAACAUCUUGACCUUCUCAAACAUAUGCACACUGUAGGGGAAAAGGUGAUUUCGGAUUUUGCUGGAUCCAGCAAACUGAGAUUCCGGUUGGGUUACCAUGCUAUUCCCAGUAUGAGCCAUGUACACCUUCAUGUGAUCAGCCAGGAUUUUGAUUCUCCUUGCCUUAAAAACAAAAAACAUUGGAAUUCUUUCAAUACAGAAUACUUUCUGGACUCACAAGCUGUGAUCCAGAUGGUCGAAGAGGCUGGCAGAGUGACUGUUCAAGAUGGGACUUCUGAACUCCUGAAGCUGCCUCUUCGUUGCCACGAGUGUCAGCAGCUGCUGCCCUCCAUCCCGCAGCUGAAGGAGCACCUCAGGAAGCACUGGGGCGGGUGACUGUCCCCGAGGCCGGGUGCAGUGCCAGCGUGUGUCCGUGUCACCUGUGCCCAUGCAGUCCUGAACUAAAGCAUGCAGCUUUUCAAAACAAGGCUUAUUUAUUCUUGAGCGGCCACACACAGGGGGACUGGUAGUUCAGGAUGGGGAAUUUGGGUUUGUGUGGGUGCAUUCUCUGGUGAUGGAAGCUGGGACGUCCUGCCUGAUCACCCUACCAGGACCAUGUCAGGCCUGACUAAUGAGGGAGAGGAGAGCCAGCCUGAGACUCGAAUGCAGGCUGUGGAAGCAGAGCGAUGGUAAGAGGUGGAGGCCAGGGCAGAGGAGGGGCUCCUGGGGCUGUGUGAAGAGCCAGUGGAUCAGCUGGAUUCUUACCUGCUACUGACAGCAUUUCCACACCACAGACACACUCGCUUACGGCAGCUGGGAACUUUAGCAUUCAAGGACCCAGGUGUAUAGGAGGUCAAGAUCCUCAAAUGCAGCUGAUUCUGCCUGGCCAGGAGGGAGAAGAGACUCAGGAUUUAGAGAGGCCCCAGGCAAGGAGCAGAGGGGUGCUUGUGGCCAGAGACAUGCCCAGAAGGAACAGGAAGGCCCUAGACUAGGAGAAGAUUCUGCCCUUCUGGAGCUCCUGCUCUGCCUGCUUCCUUUUGCUGUCGGCUGGGCCUCCUGAGCAUGUAGAGGAAACCAUGGGGUCAGAGGCAACGUGGUUUCUCGGUUCUGUUGAAGGAGGACGGGGAGUCCUGUCCUCAGAUGGCUGGAGGUGGAGACUGCUAAGCUCCGGCCCUGUCUCAGAUGCCAGCAAGAAACUACUAUGUCCCUGGACCUUGUGCAGGGCCCGGGGCCUGGCUGCUUCAGGACAAGAGCAUGUUGACUCCCCUGGGUAGGAGCAGAGCAACUUGCUGGUUUGCAUGCAGCAGGUGGCGCAGGCGCUCCACGAGGUUCUGUCUGUGCUUGUGACUCGUCCUUCAGCCUUGCUCACCUUUCUGCGGUGGACUUGGUCACCAACAAGGACCUCACAGCAGCUCCCGAGUGACCAGUCUACUAGUGGGUUUUCUGCUGCUUUGUGGUGAAAUAUCAGCACUGUUUUUGUUUUAUUAACCAAUCUUGACUUUCAUUAGUUUCAUGCUAACCAAAACCACCUACAAGCUAGACAACACUAGAAGCUGAAGAAUCACUGGGUUUGAAUCCCAGAUCUACCAAUUAGGGAUAGCAUGACUCUGGGCAAGCUGUAUAACUCUAUGAUCCUUGGAUCUCUCACCUACAAAAGUCUUGGAAAUUCCAUUUACUGGUAGGAUUACUAUGGACAUAAAAUAACAGGAAGAGGCAAAGUAGUCAGUAUGUGGUCACCAAAUAAAGACGUUUGUGGCAAUGAGUUAUUCUUUUUCUUUUCUUUCUUUUUUAAAAAAGACAAAC